rnacentral:rRNA from 1 species
AUUGAACGCUGGCGGCAGGCCUAACACAUGCAAGUCGAGCGGUAGCACAGAGAGCUUGCUCUCGGGUGACGAGCGGCGGACGGGUGAGUAAUGUCUGGGAAACUGCCUGAUGGAGGGGGAUAACUACUGGAAACGGUAGCUAAUACCGCAUAACGUCGCAAGACCAAAGAGGGGGACCUUCCGGCCUCUUGCCAUCAGAUGUGCCCAGAUGGGAUUAGCUAGUAGGUAGGGUAACGGCUCACCUAGGCGACGAGCCCUAGCUGGUCUGAGAGGAUGACCAGCCACACUGGAACUGAGACACGGUCCAGACUCCUACGGGAGGCAGCAGUGGGGAAUAUUGCACAAUGGGCGCAAGCCUGAUGCAGCCAUGCCGCGUGUAUGAAGAAGGCCUUCGGGUUGUAAAGUACUUUCAGCGGGGAGGAAGGCGAUAAGGUUAAUAACCUUGUCGAUUGACGUUACCCGCAGAAGAAGCACCGGCUAACUCCGUGCCAGCCGCCGCAGUAA